ensembl:lncRNA
AUGUUGCUUUUAAUGUAUUUCAGGGAGCUUGGUCGGUUUUUUGACAUAAAGUUGAAAAAUAGAAAACCAAAAAAACAUACAAAACCUGUUGAAAAUCAAAGUUCCACACCUAUCUCUGUUUCGCAAAGGUUUCAUUUAGCACAAUCACAGGGAUCAAGAAGAAAUCAGACAGCAUUGGCAUCAGUGACAGCUGCUGAAGCUUACUCCAUAAAGGAAUCUGAUUUCAUUAUUGUGAAACAAAUAUAUGACAACUCUGAUUCAGAAGACAGUUCAGGAAUGUCACAUGAUCAUCAUGGUUUGACUGUAAAAUCCAGAGCGUAUGUGUUUUCUUCUCGGUCCAAUGAGAGCAUAAGAUCAUUCUGUGGUGAUGUAGGUGAUCUUUCCUCUUCAUUACCUUCCUCAGCAGAUGAAAUUAAAACAAAGAAUAGCUUUACAAAUCUACCCAAUUCUAUUGUAAAAGGGAAAGAAUCAGUGCCUCAACCAGAAUCUUCACAUGAUAACCAAGAACAGUGUACCUCUGGUGAUUUAUUAUUACAGCUAAAGAGAACAAAAGAUUCACCGGAACUGAGCUUUUCAGAUGAAAUCACAAUAGAGAAUCAAGUCUCAAAUCCAUCUGCCACUACUCCAAAAGAAAAAGAAAUGUUUCCUGUUAUACCUCAGCCAGACUAUUUAUGUGGUAAUCAAGAACAAUGUACUACUUCUAGUGAUACAGAACCACAGCUAAAGAAAACUACAGAUUCUUCACAACCUUACUUGUUAGCCGAAAUCACGGUAGAAGACCAGGUUUCAAAUAUGCCUACCACUAUCCCAAAAGAAGAAGAAUUGGUUCCUGUUGUAACUCAGCCAGGAUGUCAUAAUUACAAACAGUGAUGUUCCACAGCUAAAAGGAGACUCGAUUUCAAAAUCAAAAUCUGAAAAUGACAUAAGGCUUUCUUCUUGUAGAGGACCAUAUGUAUCUCGGUCAUUGACUCGUCUUUAUAAAUGUCCAUGACCAGUAUCCAUUUGUCUCAUUCAAUAUUUUUAAUCUUACAACCGAUGAUCCAGUUAUCCUCUAAAAAACAAUUAUUUCAACAAAUAUGCAUACAUAUGAAUGAAGAAAUAGACAGUCCCUGAAUAGUAGGAAUAUGUCUAAACCGUUUUAAAAUGUUUUAUUCAUAUUUGGCAACAUUUUCUUUCUUAGAAAUUAAAUCUAACUAAAUGUAUUCAAUGUUAUAUUAACUUGGGUAUGAGGAGGAAAUUAUUUUGUUAUCAAGAUUUAACAUGAAUCUAUUUUUGUAUUUUCCUUUCACGGCUAUAAAAUAGUAAAUCUGGAGGAAUGAUUAAAUAUUAGGUUUUUGGCGGCUAUUUGAAUUUUAAAAACUUAUCAGAAUAAAACACAUUUUUUGUACCUGUUAAUGUUAUUUUUUAUAAUACCUUUAUAAAAGAAGCAGUUUUUACCAGGAAGAACACUAAAAUAAUAAUUAGCAUCAAUAAGAAGGGCUUUGGCUAUCUCAAUUUGUCUGGGAUUCAAAUAAACAAUACUUUAAACAAUGGCCAUAUUGCAGAUGGACUAAAGACCACCUUGCUUUAAAGCCACACAGAAGGUUCAAGGACACAAGGAUGAAUUUAUCAGAUUCAUACUGGUGGCAUGCUUAAUAGCUACUAUGUUAAAUCUGCUCAUGUGCAGUAGCAGUGAAUAUCUGGUGCCAGCAAAGUAUUGCUGCCCAUUGGUUAUACUAGCAUAGAGUACUAGUCGAACAAGUGGCAGUUGAUACAGUAUGGUACUUUAACUUUUUGGUGUGACUUGGUGAUUUGUAUUAUCUGCUCAUCACAUAUACUUACCACACAUUGAUAGUUCUUUCAAACUUGGCAAUUAUUACUUACGUUUUGAAUUAAGAUUCUUUAAAUUGACAUAAUGGUAAGAAAUAUAUUUUAUUGACAUGGAAAACAUGGCUAAUGAUGAUUCUUCUUCCUAACCCUAUAAUACAGCACUGUUGACUUGAUUUGUGGUUUUGCUGCAUCAGCCCAUAUGCACAGUGCAGUAUUAUAUUUUUUUGAAUGUAUGGUAAUAAUGUCCUCUAGGUUCAAAACCUAGCAACAGCAGGGGGCACAAGAGGUGGCAGUUGCAACCCCUUUCUGCUGAGUUGCGGGUUGUUGAUGCUGAGGGGCAGGAUAAUGAAAAGAAGGUCAUCACUUGGAUAUCUGGAAUGGUGGAAUUGAUCUGCUUCUGUAAGGUUCAUAUUAGUUGCAUCUACUGCAGAUUGUUAAAUAUAGGGUAGAUGUAGAUAUGCCAUAUUUCUUCUUUGUGGUCUCUAUAGUUAUAAGUAAGUAACCUGUCCUUAGAUGCAGUUCUCUGUUCCUCAGUUUUCUUGAGCUUCAAAUCUGUAGUCUCCUUAAAGAGUAGCAUUGUUGAAUGGCAGGUCUUUGAUAAUCAAUUUGCUGAAGCAGAAAGACCAGAAGAACAGCCAAGUGUGUGGCGUCUGAUGGGCCAGCAGUUUCUUUGCAGUGGCCGCUGUGUGCUUCGCAAGCUAGACUUGAUUAUGAGUCAGAAGCAAAGCCUCUUCACCAAAGGUCUAUAAGAUUUUUCAGGCUUCACAUGACUUGGAGCAAGUAUGAACACAAGAAAAGCCAAAGGGAGUGCACUCUUCUGGAUGUCUUGAAAAGGUCAUCCACCACUUGUGUGAUUUAUUGAAAGGAGGAGACUCAAAGUGGUUUACUUUACCACAUUUCAAUAUACAGUAGAGUCUCACUUAUCCAACAUAAACGGGCCAGCAGAACGUUGGAUAAGCGAAUAUGUUGGAUAAUGAGAGAUUAAGGAAAAGCCUAUUAAACAUCAAAUUAGUUUAUGAUUUUACAAAUCAAGCACCAAAACAUCAUGUUAUACAACAAAUUUGACAGAAAAGGUAGUUCAAUACGCAGUAAUGCUGUGUAGUAAUUACUGUAUUUACGAAUUUAGCACCAAAAUAUCACAAUGUAUUGAAAACAUUGACUACAAAAAAGCAUUGGAUAAUCCAGAACGUUGGAUAAGCGAGUGUUGGAUAAGUAAGACUCUACUGUAAUUUAAAUCGAUCCCUGAGGCUUCCCCAUGUUUCUGGAUUUAUUAACACAAGGUCUGUUAAGUAUCAAAACCCAACAUGGUUAGCAUUGACUGCAUACUAUUGAAAGGAUGGAUUUAGUUAAAUGUGGAUAUUGGGAUGAGGGGAUGAGAAAAAUAAUGUCAAAGAGAAAAGAUUCCACACAAAACAAUACAAUAAGACAGUGGAAACAGUUCAGUGCUAUAAGAAAGAAUUUGUACACUAAGACUGAAGUAGAAGAUGUAGUUCAGUUUUUACAAGAUGUGUAAUCAAAGGGGUCAUGUCCAGACUCAUUAAAAUGCCUUUUCAGUAUUUUCAGUUAUUCUGAGUUGCAAAAAUGUGAAAUGUUACUAACAUAAAAUGUUUUUGACAGGGUCUACUUUAUUGACAUAUUCAACAGUUCGCAGAUUGUAGCCUUAGAAUCUAGUCUUGAAUAAAUUGACAAGUGAGCUGUUUGGGUCUCUGAAAACAGCAUAUAAAAUGGCUCUUCUGGUGGCAGUUACAUUUGCAAGAUGAGUGUCCUUGUGUAGGUUAGAGAAAGAUAGGUUAAUGAUGUCUCUAGAUCCAACAUUCAUUCUAAAAUUAUCACAAAUAAGACAUGAAAUGACAACAUAGUUUUUGCAGCAAACCGAAAUAUCCUUCGAAGAAAAAAUGGCAAAAGCUUGAUGUGUCGAGUCAUAAAGAUAUACUUAAAAUGGAUUCUGGCUCAAGGAAGUCAGAGGCAUUAUUUGUGUUAUUUUAUCCAAAAAGUAUAGGACAAAAAGUCUCCCACAGUGACAUGGCCUUGUUUGAUGAGAUCAAUGACAGCUACAAUGUGGCCGGAAUCAAACACAUCCUCAUGAAGCUGGAAGCUGGAAUGUUAAAUUGUCUCUGUGUCUAUUAGGCAUGUGUGAUCCAUGAAAAAAAUGGUUCAACACUCGCUUCAAAGUAGGGGGUGCUGGCGCUUCGUUUCUAAAGUCAUUUCUGAAUUUUGAGGCAAAAAAAUUCAAAACUUCCGAAACUUCGCAUGUACUUCAUUAAUGGGGGUGCGCAUGCACAUAAAGGAAAACAUUCUUGUCAAUGGGGAAAAUUGAGGGGCCGCUCUCUCCCUCAUUUUUGAGCUAUCGUAAUGAAAUUUGCUACAGUGGUAGAACACAUUUACCACUGUUAGCUCACCAAAUUUCAGAACGUUUUUCUUAUUCUCUGAUAAACCAUUUUUUUAAUAAUUGAAGAAAUCUGUUCCUGGUUUGAAAGUCUUAUUUCCUGUUUCAUUGGGUUGUCUUUACUUUGAAAGUCAUUGUUCUACUUCAGAAACUUUGUUUUUGUGGCUGAUACUUUGUUAAAUUGAUGGACAGUGUCCCAGGAAAUCAUAAUGUGUUAUCAUAGCACCUUCAUUUAUUUAUUUAUUUAUUUAAUAUACUGCUCUUCUCCCCCAAGGGAACCUAUGUCCCUUUCGCAAAGACAAAGUUUUGGCUGUGUAAAGUUUUGCCAUGUUUCUAUGACAGAACUAAUUAGGAAAUGACAUUUAUCACCCAGGAACAGAAAUCAUAGUACACCAUCAAAUCACUCCUGACAGACGGCCAUCAGCCUCUGAAUAAGGAAAUCUGUUCCUGGUUUGAAACUGUUUUAUUGGGUUUUCUGGGGCUGAGAGUGUGUGACUUGCCCAAGAUUACCCAGGGGGUUUCCAUGGCUGAGUGGGAAAUGAAGCCACAAUAGUAGGACGACUCUCAAACCACUACACCAGGGGCCCUCAAGUUAAGGCCCAUGGGCCAGAUGCAGCCCUCCAAUGCCAUUUACCUGGCCCCUGUCCUAAACCUUAGACCAGGAGUCCCCAAACUACGGCCCGGCCUGCGGGCCACAUGCGGCCCUCCAAUACCAUUUACCUGGCCCCUGUCCUAAACUUUCGAAUUAGGGUUGACCUAAGUCUGAAAUGACUUGAAGGCACACUACAACAAAAUUCCUAAUUUUGCACUAUUUCACCACAGUCUGUCCCCCAACAGUCUGAGGGACUGAAUCUGACCUCCACUUAAAAAGUUUGAAGACCCCUACACUACACUACACCCUGCUGUCCCAACAAGGGGCCGCUGUUUCUUCCUAUGAGGCUUAAAACCUCAGUCUUUUGUUUUUUUAUGAAUUGCUCCCAUGAGAAAAUGUAUAGGAUGUGGGUGAACUACAAUUCUCAAAAGUCUUGGGUCAACCCUCCCAAAACUCCCCUAGGAUUCACAGCU